rnacentral:rRNA from 1 species
UUUAAAGGGUGCGCAGGCGGGAGAGUUAAGUCGGCGGUGAAAUUUUGCAGCUCAACUGUAAAAGUGCCAUCGAUACUGGGUUUUCUUGAGUGUGGAUGAAGUAGGCGGAAUUUGUGGUGUAGCGGUGAAAUGCAUAGAUAUCACAAGGAACACCGAUUGCGCAGGCAGCUUACUAAACCAUAACUGACGCUCAGGCACGAAGGCGUGGGGAGCAAACAGGAUUAGAUACCCUGGUAGUCCACGCAGUAAACGAUGAUUACUAGCUGUUUGCGAUACAAUGUAAGCGGCUGAGCGAAAGCGUUAAGUAAUCCACCUGGGGAGUACGUUCGCAAGAAUGAAACUCAAAGGAAUUGACGGGGGCCCGCACAAGCGGAGGAACAUGUGGUUUAAUUCGAUGAUACGCGAGGAACCUUACCCGGGCUUGAAAUGCAUCUGACCGGCCUUGAAAGAGGUUUUCCCUUCGGGGCAGAUGUGUAGGUGCUGCAUGGUUGUCGUCAGCUCGUGCCGUGAGGUGUCGGCUUAAGUGCCAUAACGAGCGCAACCCUCAUCAUUAGUUACCAUCAGGUAAGGCUGGGGACUCUAAUGAGACUGCCAUCGUAAGAUGUGAGGAAGGUGGGGAUGACGUCAAAUCAGCACGGCCCUUACGUCCGGGGCGACACACGUGUUACAAUGGGUGGUACAAAGGGCAGCUACCUGGC